AUAUUUACCUGGAAGGGGAAAUACCAUGAUCAUGAAAGUUGUUUUCCCAGGGUGAGGCUCACCUAUUACACUCCAGGUGUUUGGUCUCCUGCGAUUUCCCCAAAUAUGGGAAACUAGACUGCAUAAUUUGUGGUAGUGAGGGACUAUGUUUGCACUCUACCCUA